AUGCCCAGUAGCCGCAGCUGUAUCCGGUAUCCCUUCUAGCCUUAACCAUUCUCGUCACUGAUUACACCUCGAGUCGGUUUGUGUCAUGUAAUAAGCGUCUCCAGAAGAGCACGUGAGCUGCAGACUGCAAUAUGGAGACAGUUCCCAGCAGCUGCCCUACUGUACCGCUGUCCAAUGGACGCAACAUUCCCAUUCUGGGUUUAGGAACAUCUCACAAUGGAGGUUACAGUCAUGAAGCAGUGCUCUGUGCUCUACAGGAGUGUGGCAUAAGGCAUAUAGACACAGCCAAGCGUUAUGGUUGUGAAGAGGCUUUGGGGAAAGCUGUGGUUGAUAGUGGAGUACCACGAGAGGAGCUCUGGCUCACUACCAAACUAUGGCCUGGAGAUUACGGCUACCAGAGCACCAAACAAGCCUGCCGGGACUCGUGUGCCAGGCUGGGGGUUGAUUAUUUAGACCUUUAUCUGAUGCACUGGCCGGACUGCAUGGUUCCAGGCGUCUCCAGUCGUGAGGUUCGAGCAGAGACGUGGAGAGCUCUGGAGGAGCUUUAUGAUGAAGGUUUGUGUCGUGCCAUUGGAGUGAGUAACUUUCUCAUACACCACUUAGACGAGUUAAAGGAUCGUGCUGGAAUUGUGCCUCAUGUUAACCAGGUGGAGUUUCAUCCCUUCCAGCAGCCACUGGAGCUGGUUGAAUAUUGCCAGAAGGAGAAUAUCGUUUUUGAAGGCUACUGUCCUUUGGCCAAAGGUCAAGCUCUCACUCAUCCAUCAGUCAUGGAGCUCGCCCAGAAACACGGCCGCAGUGCGUCACAGAUAUGCAUACGCUGGAGUAUCCAGAACGGAGUUGUCACAAUUCCAAAGUCCACCAAACCAGAAAGGAUCCAUGAAAACUGCCAAGUAAGUGUUUGGGUUCAGCUUGGAUGAUUCAGACAUGGCAGCGCUGAGUUUGCUGCAUGAUGGGAGACAUGUGAGCUGGGACCCAACUCAUUUGGAGUGACCAAAGCUCCAAGAAAAGCACCUGUUCAGGUUUUUGGAUUCACACUAACAGCAGAAGACAUGGACCGAAUAAGAGAUUUACACACCAAUCAGAAGCUGAUUCAUCUCACUUACCCAAUCUGGAAAGGAUAACCUAGCAACCAAAAUCCAGGAUAGUGACGGGUCCUGAACUCACUGUGAAAGGAAAGCUUACUUAAGAAAAUGUAAUCAAGGGAAUCAGUGAUUUGCAUGCUGCUGAUAUCACACAUGUGCUGUGCCUUUUGAAAACUGGUAUUCAGUGGUGUUGAGAGACUAAUAUUGUUAUUGUUAUGGUCUUAAUAGUAACAAUUAGUAGGGAGAGCAAUUUUGUGUACAAACUAACUGCUAGUUACACGUCAUAUCUUCAAACAUCAGACAUGACGGACAAGCUUAACAGUGACAGAACCUCAGGUAAACAAUCAAGUUGACAUUUAAUGGAUGUUAUAUUAACUGUAAUGGCAUGUUCUUAUUUCCCCUAUGAAUUGUAUUCUAUUAUACUGUCAAAUUGUUGUUUUAAGCAGAAACUGCUCUUUGUGUUCUGAGUUUCUCAGAAACUGCGCUGGUGAAACUGAAAUAAAUGGAGCCAGCACACAUCUUUAUAGCAGUGUUACCAAUAUUGUUUAUUCCAUCCCUCUCAUUUAGAAUCAUUGUUGUACACAAGUUACAUUUUCUUCUCAAUAAUCACAGGUUUCUGUUAAAUUUUUUAUUUUAUUUUUUUAUCUUGUCCUCUUAACAUCCAGUUUCACCUCCCUCUCUCCUUUUAAACAAACAAAAAAGCAGAUUGUAUUAUACAAAAAUGCAAACCAAUUUUCACACAGUGAAUUCUUUUACAAAGUCAUAAAAUGGCGUAAUAAUGGCUACAUCCACAUUGGAGUAAGAUGGUUCUAAACAUUCCUUAAUGGAGUAUAAUAUAUAUAUUUAUAUAUAAAACCUUUCCUUGUUGAAAUUGAGCCUGUACCUUAAUUUAAGAGAUUUUACAUAACAACUUGGAAGUAAUCAUAAAAAAGCCAUUACAUUUCCCCAAAAGUUAGGAAUAAAACAAACCGGCAAAAAAAAGAUAGCCAUAACAGUGUUAUAAGGUUGAAAAUGAGUUAAUUUGCGUUUCAUUUAAAUGAAUUCAACAGGUCUGCUCAAAACAGACACGAUCCAGUCAGAGAAAUGAAUAUCAUCCAUCAGGAACAGACCCAUUCUCAAAGAAAAUCACAUAAUCCUGCAAUUUCUCACUUGAGGAAAAAUAACCUCAUGCACAAAACUGUAAAUGAGCCUUACUGAGUCGUUUCCCAUAAAUUGCGAUGUGUGGAUGGUUGUAAAACAAACAAACAAAAAAAUCCACGCAGAAGUAAUUAGCUCAGUGAGAUCACUGAUCAUUA